GACGAACGCUGGCGGCGUGCUUAACACAUGCAAGUCGAACGGAAAGGCCUCUUUCGGGGGGUACUCGAGUGGCGAACGGGUGAGUAACACGUGAGUAACCUGCCCUUUACUUUGGGAUAACUUCAGGAAACUGGGGCUAAUACCGGAUAGGAGCUCCUGCUGCAUGGUGGGGGUUGGAAAGUUUCGGCGGUGGGGGAUGGGCUCGCGGCUUGUCAGCUCGUUGGUGGGGUGGUGGCUUACCAGGGCUUUGACGGGUAGCCGGCGAGGGAGGGUGACCGGCCUGGGAGGGAGAGAGGGACGACCCACCUUCGUGCGGGAGCAGGGGGGGAGAAUUAUUGCCGGGCGGGGGGAAGCCGGAGCCAGGCCGCGCGUGGGAGGAAGGCCGUCCUGUGGUUGAUAGCCCUUUUUCGGGAAGAACGGAGUUUUGUGGACGGUAAGUGGAGAAAAAGGCCCGGCUAACUACGUG
rnacentral:rRNA from 1 species